rnacentral:lncRNA from 1 species
AGGUUUUAAGAACUAGUGAGGUUUUCUUAGAUAUUUGUCAAUUCGCUAAUUAUAUUGAAGCAAAAGUUUUUAUAAAGAUGUUCAGCUUGAUUUCUAAUAAGUAUGUAAAAUUUGGAAGCAAAAUAAUAGUUCAAUCAGGAGUAAUUGGCUCUUGGAGAUUGGCGUCAAGGUCAGAGAAGGAGGCAAACUGAUUCCGAAGUAUAUUUUUGAAAUUAUUAUCUAUUUGGUAAUAUUGAUCUUCUUUGAUUUUUUUGUGCUUAUUCUUAACUUAAUUAGUAAUGAAUUUAAAAAAUUUGAGUUGAAAUCAAUGGUUCAAAUAUUAGUUAUUAAAUUUUAAAAUCUAUUAUAAGGUUGUUAGAAAUUUGUUUGUAAUUUAAAAUUUGAUUAAGAUUUGAUUAGGAUUCGAUUAGUAUUUGGUUUGGUUUGGAUUAAGAUUUGAUUAAGAUUAGGAUUAGGAUUUGGUUUGAUUUAAAUUAAGAUUUUAUUUGGAUUAAGAUUUGAUUAGGAUUAGGAUUUAGUUUGAUUUAAAUUAAGAUUUUAUUUGGAUUAAGAUUUGAUUAGGAUUAGGAUU